AGUAAGGUCAGCUAAUCAAGCUCUUGGGCCCAUACCCCAAAUAUGUUGGUUAAACUCCUUCCUUUACUA
rnacentral:tRNA from 1 species